UUUGGUAUCAGAGCCAGGUUA
rnacentral:sRNA from 1 species